rnacentral:lncRNA from 10 species
UCAAACUCCAGCUCAUCUGCAGACUUGUGAAUCAUAAUAAACUAGCAUUGUUUGAAGCCACAGAGUUUUAGAGUGAUUUGCAAUGUAGCAAUAAAUUAUGGAUACAGUCAUCCAUAACAACCCAGUACAGACUGAGCUUUGCCUGGAUCACUAUUUUCCCCUCCACUUUACCCCCUGCAGGGUCAGAUGAAAGUGAGAUCCAUACAUCCUUCUUCAGCAACUUGUGCCUCUGCUCUGCACCUCCCGCAAUUAACUACUGAAAAAAGAACACAGCUUCACAAAAGGAGAUUGUAAAAUCAGGAAGUAUAUCUAAGUCACCUCCAGUAGCCGUAACUCUACCUUGUCCAGUAAAAGGUAAGUAUGUGAAAUAGUA